rnacentral:tRNA from 1 species
GGAGCCGUGCCUGAAUCAUAGGGUUACUUUGAUAGAGUAAAAAAUGGAGGUUAAAAUCCUCCCGCCUCCU